AUACGGAGGGUGCAAGCGUUGUUCGGAAUCACUGGGCGUAAAGGGCGCGCAGGCGGUUUGGUAAGUCAGAUGUGAAAGCCCACGGCUCAACCGUGGAAGUGCAUUUGAAACUGUCAGACUUGAGUACUAGAGGGGAAAGUGGAAUUCCCGGUGUAGAGGUGAAAUUCGUAGAUAUCGGGAGGAAUACCGGUGGCGAAGGCGACUUUCUGGCUAGAUACUGACGCUGAGGCGCGAAAGCGUGGGGAGCAAACAGAAUUAGAAACCCUAGUAGUCC
rnacentral:rRNA from 1 species